UACAGAGGGCGCGAGCGUUGUCCGGAAUCACUGGGCGUAAAGGGCGCGUAGGUGGCGGCAUAAGGCCGUGGUGAAAGUCUGGGGCUCAACCCCAGAUCGGCCAUGGCGACUGUGUCGCUAGGGUACUGUAGAGGCAGGUGGAAUUCCGGGUGUAGCGGUGGAAUGCGUAGAGAUCCGGAAGAACACCGGAGGCGAAGGCGGCUUGCUGGACCUGGUCUGACGCUGAGGCGCGAAAGCUAGGGGAGCAAACGGG
rnacentral:rRNA from 1 species